GAUGAAGAACGUAGUGAAAUGCGAUAAGUAAUGUGAAUUGCAGAAUUCAGUGAAUCAUCGAAUCUUUGAACGCACCUUGCGCUCCUUGGUAUUCCUUGGAGCAUGCCUGUUUGAGUAUCAUGAAAUUCUCAAAGUAAACCUUUUGUUAAUUCAAUUGGUUCCGCUUUGGACUUGGAGGUCUUUGCGGAUUAACAUCUGCUCCUCUUAAAUUUAUUAGCUGGAUCUCAGUAUAUGCUUGGUUCCACUCGGCGUGAUAAGUUAUCACUCGCUGAGGACACUGUAAAAGGUGGCCAGGAAAUACAGAUGAACCGCUUCUAAUAGUCUAUUAAAUUAGACAAUUAAUUUUAAGAUCUGAUCUCAAUCAGGUAGGACUACCCGCUGAACUUAAGCAUAUCAAUAAGCGGAGGA
rnacentral:misc_RNA from 1 species